GGAAUUUGCCCAGUCGAGGGGGAUAACUAUUGGAAACGAUAGCUAAUACCGCAUACGCCCUACGGGGGAAAAGAGGGGACCUUCGGGCCUUCUGCGAUUGGAUAAGCCUAAGUGAGAUUAGCUAGUUGGUGAGGUAAUGGCUCACCAAGGCGACGAUCUCUAGCUGGUCUGAGAGGAUGAUCAGCCACACUGGAACUGAGACACGGUCCAGACUCCUACGGGAGGCAGCAGUGGGGAAUAUUGCACAAUGGGCGCAAGCCUGAUGCAGCCAUGCCGCGUGUGUGAAGAAGGCCUUCGGGUUGUAAAGCACUUUCAGUCGUGAGGAAGGUAGUUGCGUUAAUAGCGCAAUUAUUUGACGUUAGCGACAGAAGAAGCACCGGCUAACUCCGUGCCAGCAGCCGCGGUAAUACGGAGGGUGCGAGCGUUAAUCGGAAUUACUGGGCGUAAAGCGCAUGCAGGUGGUUUGUUAAGUCAGAUGUGAAAGCCCCAGGCUCAACCUGGGAAGGUCAUUUGAAACUGGCAAACUAGAGUACUGUAGAGGGGGGUAGAAUUUCAGGUGUAGCGGUGAAAUGCGUAGAGAUCUGAAGGAAUACCAGUGGCGAAGGCGGCCCCCUGGACAGAUACUGACACUCAGA
rnacentral:rRNA from 1 species